rnacentral:rRNA from 2 species
AGGUGCGAUAAUACCAGUAAUAAUUCACCGGAUCCCUUUAGAACUUUACAGUUAACCUUGCUUGGGUGAGAGUAGUAUUAGGAAGGGUGACCUCCUAGGAAGUCCUCGUGUUGCACCUU